UGCGCCACCCAGGCGCCCCGGAAAUGUUUUUUAAAAGUUUAUCUGUUGAAGGACCAAGACCGUUUGAUAUGUAGAGCUUCCUGCAGGCUGGAUUUUGCUGAUAUAUUCUCAUUGCAGAUAAAGACAUGCAGAAAAGUUGAAAAGUUUGCUGUUCUGAAUGUCCACGUACUCGCCAGUAUGGAUGGAUAGAUGUGAUAGGGCCAGUAGAGCAAAAUGUUGACAACGGGGUCGUGUGUUAGCAGGAAGAUUCUCGGGUAGAAAUAUUUUACCACCUAUUUAUACAUAUGCACACACAUACACACAGACACACAUACACAAUCAGCUUACUAAAAGAAGGAAGUUUUCCUCACCUAGUAGGUUUUCUGACACUACACCGUCCUGUCCCUUCCUGGGAUAAAGUCUACUUGGUGAUGAUGUAGUCUUAUUUCUUGAAGGCACAGCUGGAUCCAAUUGGCCAACGUUUUAUUUAGAACUUUUGCACCUCGUUUUAUAAGUGGCAUUGACCCCUGGUUUUCUUUCUUCUGUAGGGUCCUUGCUUGCUCUUGGUGUCCUUGAUGAAUGAGCUAGGAAGCUGGUUUUAAUGCUUUGGGGCACUUAAGCUUUAUUACAGAGUGACCUAUUCCUCGAAGUGUUGCUGGAAUUGGCCAAUAAAAUGGUCUGAGGCCCGUGCCUUUGGGAGAGACCUUUGUCCUUUGCUUUUCUUUUUCGGUUAAUAAUUGGUUGCUUUUUUUUUUUUUUUUGGACUCGAUUUUGGGCAAUUUCUGUUCUUCUAGGAAAUCCCCCAUUUCUCCUAGUCUUUUCCUUUCUCUUGUCUCCUCUCUCUUGGCCGCCCUGCCCCCUUCCCUGCAGAGCUCCUUCUUGGCUGGCUGGGCCCCCUCUGCCUUACGCUCGGAGUGGCAGCAUAAUGUUCACGGCUGUAGGUCUUCUGUGACAGAACCCUGUUCUCCUGGUCGGCAUCCCUGCUUGUUCUUAAUGGUGUGGCAGGUGUAAGGAACCGUGGCUUUAGUCUUAUGGCCUGGGCACAGCCACAGAUCCCAGCACACUGAACUGCCAAUCACAGUGGGGCCUGGGGGAGGCGGACAAUCAAUUUAUGGCCUUUUGACCCUGUAGUGGAAUGCCAUGUCAACGUUUCCCGGACAUCCUGACAUCCCUCCUAGGUGGUCUCUCCCUGCCCGAUUGAACUCAGAAGUGACCAUGUGUCUCGAUUUGCUGAUGAGCUAUGUCCGAGGUGUCACUUUGGGUAGAGUUGGUAAGAGCGUGAGUACGGUUCUCUAUCUGACAUUUCCCUCUAUCGUUCCUACUGACCGUUUUCCAAACAGAGGCGGUCCCGGCAUCCGUGGUCCUGGACUGAAGAUGGCUUUGAGCACAGUUGCAGAUGACACAUGAUGGACACAGAGCCGGAGUGAGAAGGAAACUUCAUAACUCUAAGCCACGGAGAUCUGGGGGGAAGCAUUUGUCACUCCAGAGUAACUUGGCCCUUCCUGACCCCUCCUCCCUUUUGCUGUGAGGGUCCUGUCUCCUUCAGGGCGAACUCAGAACCCUGUGGACAUACGCUUGCUCUCGGCGUUUUCAUUUAGUCCUUUGUUCGCUGGGCAUUGCCGUAGCAAGGCUGAAAGGAACGGGCUUUGGGAUGAGAAUUCUGGAUUCUAGGCUUGGCCCUGACGCUUGGUAGCUAUGAUCUUAAGGACACAUCAACUGACCUCUGAGUGCCUUAGCUUGCCCCUCUGUGAGAUGGAAAGAAUAGCAGUGCCUUCCUCUUGGCUGUGUUGUAAGGAUUCAUGAGCUCUGGAAAGUACUCGCUUUAUAGAUGUUGGUAUUACUAGGAGCAGAGGGCUCUAUCAGCUUAGGCCAGGCUGUGCUGCAGUGACAUGUGACCCCCAACUCUCAGUGGCCCACCCAGCUAUCUGACCUUAACCCCAGUCUAAUUCC